AGCCAGCUAUAUGUCGUGAUAGUAAGGGAGGCUAGUGAUUGGCUAAAAGGACCUCGAUAUCACACAGUGUAUCUUGGGAUUGGCUGAAAAAGGAAUUUAAAAAAAUCUCAGGUCCCGCCCCCGAGUAAAUAUCGCCGCAUGUGAUUCCUGCCCAAGUGACCGUUUUAUCGUUCAGCUGAACUUGAUGAAACAUCUUUAGAAGUUGAUUAGAUUACUGGGAGACAACGGGUACAAUUAUACAUUGUAACGUCGUACCAGUUUGCCUUAAUAUUCUUUCAUAUUCGGUUACUUUGUAACAGUUCUCUCAUCAUGUGCCGGCGCCGAGAAGAUGAGAACGUGACACGCUGCUACUCAAACAGCAAUAACAAAGAAAUGAUGAACGUGGUACCUUCAGGCGUUUCGAAAUGGCUCCCAAGGAUGAACCAGACUUGUGGAGGUCUACAAUUUUUUUUCUGAAGACAUGGCUGGUUUCUUAUGAUUUUCACAUGAUGUCAAGCAAAGAGGCACAGAGUUUGAAGGUGGUGAGGCCUCCUCGUUUACAUCAAGCAGUCCUCAAGAAGCUGUUGACCUUGAUCUAUGUAUUUAACAUUGGAAAGAGGAUACAUCGCAUAGUUAUUUAUAUACUUGGCAUAGCUAAUUCUAAUAGGCUAUACUGUAUCUACUGCUGUACAUAUCAUUCUUAGUAUAUCUUGUGUAAAUCCAUCUAUUGUAUACACCUGUAGAUUGCAUUUGUAUUACAGUGCUAUUUGGGAUGUUAAUUGGAUUCCGCUGGCAUUUCUUGAAUUGUUAUAUAUUUUCUUGUUUUAUUAUUUGUAAAGUGUACUUUCACAUUGAGCUGCACUGUUCGGAGCUAACCACUGGGAAACAACAUUGAGUCAACCAGUGUAUGCCAUGUAAUUUCAAUGAAAUUACGUUUCAACCAAUGUGAAAUGGACGUUGAACAGUGUCCAGUGGCUAGUAACAUUAAGCAUUUCGCUGCACCCGACAUCUAUUUUUAAAGCUGGAACUAGCAGGAACACACUGAUCAAUACAUUUGUUUCUGAUCAACUCCUAUUGUGUCAUGUCACUUUUGCCUUGUCAGCUGUAGGAAAUACUGCCUGUGAACCUAAUGAACUUGACUACAGUAUUCUGAAGGAGACAAAACAAAUACUUUGUAAAGGGGUGUUUGCAAUUCCAGCAAAAUAUAGUCUGAAGGAAUAAGAAUACAGUAAAUAACCGGUAUUAGAAAGGUUACCCCAUGAAAGAGAAACGGAGUGAAAUAGAUUAUUCUUAUCAAAACCCUCUUAAUAGUCACAGUCGGGGCAGAAACACAUUUGAUCUGAAUUGAUUCAUUCAAAAGGCUUGUCUGUCUCUGACACCACAUUACAGUUGCCUAUCUGACUGGGCAAACACAAUCACACAGGAGAGAGAUAUAUUAUUUUCUUGGGGAGCUGCUGAAUCUACCUAUAGAUAUGUUAUUUUUUAUUUAACUGAUAUUUAACUAGGCUUGUCAGUGAAGAACACAUUCUUAUUUACAGUGACGGCCUACCCCGGGCAAACCCAGAAGACGCUGGGCUAAUUGUGCACCGCCCUUUGGGACUCCCAAUCACGGCUGGAUGUGAUACAGCCUGGCUUUGAACCAGGGACUGUAGUGACGUGUUUUGCACUGAGAUGCAGUGCCUUAGACUGCUGCGCCACUCGGGAGCCCAAAAUAUGUGGUAAUAGGACUACUUGAUUGGUAUCUACAGAAAGAUGGAAAUCAAUGGGUUUAUUUAUGAUAAGCGUUAGUUAAUAGUAUUAAGAAUGUUUUUAUUACAAUGCAGUACUGACCAUUACCUCAUCCAUGCAACUGACACUGAUUACAGUCAAACAGAAAAAGAAGCACUUCCUCCACCUGUUGGCCAUGAAGUGUACUGCAGGCAAUGUAACAAGGCAAUGACCAUAAUAAAUCGAAUCAAAUUUUAUUUGUCACAUGCGCCGAAUACAACAGGUGUGAAAUGCUUACUUUACGAGCCUUUAAUCAACAAUGCAGUUCAAGAAAUAGAGUUAAAAAAUAUUUACUAAAUAAACUCAAGUCAAAAAUGAAAAGUAACACUAGAAUUUCAUAACAAAAACAAGGCUAUGUACAGGGGGUACUGGUACCGAGUCAAUGUGUGGGGGUCCAGGUUAG